rnacentral:rRNA from 1 species
UGGGGAAUUUUCCGCAAUGGGCGAAAGCCUGACGGAGCAACGCCGCGUGAGGGAGGAAGGCUUUUGGGUUGUAAACCUCUUUUCUCAAGGAAGAUUUCAGACGGUACUUGAGGAAUCAGCAUCGGCUAACUCCGUGCCAGCAGCCGCGGUAAUACGGAGGAUGCAAGCGUUAUCCGGAAUUAUUGGGCGUAAAGCGUCCGCAGGUGGUCGUUCAAGUCUGCUGUCAAAGCCCGGGGCUUAACCCCGGAUCUGCAGUGGAAACUGAGGGACUAGAGUACGGUAGGGGUAGAGGGAAUUCCCAGUGUAGCGGUGAAAUGCGUAGAGAUUGGGAAGAACACCAGUGGCGAAAGCGCUCUACUGGACCGUAACUGACACUCACAGGACGAAAGCUAGGGGAGCGAAUGGGAUUAGAUACCCCCGUAGUCC